UACAGAGGGUGCGAGCGUUAAUCGGAAUUACUGGGCGUAAAGCGUGCGUAGACGGCUAUCUAAGUCGGGUGUGAAAGCCCCGGGCUCAACCUGGGAAUUGCAUUCGAUACUGGAUAGCUAGAGUUCGGCAGAGGGAAGCGGAAUUUCGGGUGUAGCGGUGAAAUGCGUAGAUAUCCGAAGGAACAUCAGUGGCGAAAGCGGCUUCCUGGACCAGAACUGACGAUCAGGCACGAAAGCGUGGGGAGCAAACAGG
rnacentral:rRNA from 1 species